rnacentral:rRNA from 1 species
AGUGAACGCUGGCGGCAGGCCUAACACAUGCAAGUCGAACGGCAGCACAGUAAGAGCUUGCUCUUACGGGUGGCGAGUGGCGGACGGGUGAGGAAUACAUCGGAAUCUACUUUUUCGUGGGGGAUAACGUAGGGAAACUUACGCUAAUACCGCAUACGACCUACGGGUGAAAGCAGGGGAUCUUCGGACCUUUCGCGAUUGAAUGAGCCGAUGUCGGAUUAGCUAGUUGGCGGGGUAAAGGCCCACCAAGGCGACGAUCCGUAGCUGGUCUGAGAGGAUGAUCAGCCACACUGGAACUGAGACAGGGUCCAGACUCCUACGGGAGGCAGCAGUGGGGAAUAUUGGACAAUGGGCGAAAGCCUGAUCCAGCCAUACCGCGUGGGUGAAGAAGGCCUUCGGGUUGUAAAGCCCUUUUGUUGGGAAAGAAAAGCAGCAGGUUAAUACCCCGCUGUUCUGACGGUACCCAAAGAAUAAGCACCGGCUAACUACGUG